GACGGAGGGCGCAAACGUUGUUCGGAAUCACUGGGCGUAAAGGGCGCGUAGGCAGGUCGGUAAGUCAGACGUGAAAUCCCGGGGCUCAACUCCGGGCCUGCGUUUGAAACUGCCGGCCUAGAGUGCAGGAGAGGAAGGCGGAAUUCCAGGUGUAGCGGUGGAAUGCGUAGAUAUCCGGAAGAACACCAGUGGCGAAGGCGGCCUUUUGGACUGACACUGACGCUGAGGCGCGAAAGCUAGGGGAGCAAACAGGAUUAGAAACCCGUGUAGU
rnacentral:rRNA from 1 species